AAUAAAACUAUGUUUAUUUCAACAGAACGCUGAAAUUUCGGUAUUUGAAGUGAACAUCCGUUUUGUCGGUGGACUACUUUCAGCUUACUAUCUUUCGGGAGAAGAGGUUUUCCGAAAGAAGGCAGUAGAGCUUGGAGAGAAAUUGCUACCUGCUUUCAACACUCCCACUGGGAUACCUUGGGCAUUGCUUAAUAUUAAGAGUGGAAUCGGUCGAAAUUGGCCAUGGGCCUCUGGCGGCAGCAGCAUUUUGGCAGAAUUUGGGACUUUGCAUCUGGAGUUCGUACACUUGAGCCACCUGUCUGGAAACCCUGUCUUUGCUGAAAAGGUAAUGAAUAUUCGAAAAGUGCU